AGCAGGCGAUCUCCUCUGCCCGAGCCGGCGACCAACAGCAGCAGCUCCCGCUGCACCCUGCUACCCCGGCCUCCAGCGCAGCAACGAGGCCAGCCGUGACCGCGCCUUCUUCUUCCCCUUCAUCUCCCGUCACCCUCUCUCAUCUCUCUCUUUCUUGUUUCCUUCUGUUGCAGGAGCUCCCGCCUGAGCAGCCAUGGGUGAGCUCGAGCCUCCUCUGCCCGGAUCGAGCUCCCGACGCCGCGAACGGGUCCGUCCUGGCCGGAUCCACCCAUUCUGGCGCAGACCCUGCCGGAUUUGGCCUUCUCUGCGCCUCCCACGUCCAGCCCGAGUUCAUCCCUGCCAUGGCCGUGUCUCUGGUACGGGGGAGUUCGAGCGCCUCGCUCCGCCACCGGCCGGAUGUGGUGCCCCGAGG
rnacentral:lncRNA from 1 species